AAAUAUAAGUCUUUUUAGUCUCAGCUAUGUCCAUUAGGCCAAAGAGUAUAAAGGCUCUAUGAAGAGUUUAUGCUUUGCUUGCACAUUCCUCUGUAUGUAUGUGUGUAAGUUCAAACAUCUGGAGAGUUUCUCCCUCUCCCCUUUCUGUUCUUCUUUCUUUUGUUACAUAUAGAAAGUCUUCUAGGAUCCCUAGGUUCUGAGGGUAUUUUCAACGGAUAUUGACCAUAUUCGGAGUUAUUAUAUAAAUGUUAUACAACGUAUAUAUGAUAUGGCAUGAGGUCAUAUAUAAUUCUAUUGGAUAAGACCAGAUAACUCCCCUUGAUAUUUUCAUAUAUAUUUGCAUGUCACAUAUGGGGAGGCUGAGCUAUCUUUUCUGGCUCCCCCAGCGCUGGUGAUUUUGAUUCUGUAUGGUCUGUUCACAACUCAAUAAAAGGACGUGGAGGAAAAGGCACUUGUUGGAAGUCUUUCAUUUCUAACAAUUUGGGGGCUCGGUCCUGGGAUUUCUCCAAGCGAAAAGCCAACUCAUCCCUUUGUUCCAGGACAGUCGGUGUUGGUGAAGUGUCUAAAACCCACGAAGCUUGGGGAAGCGAAUUAUCUUGGGCCUGCCACUGUGAUCGCUGUGACAAGGACCGGUGUUCUGACUGACCUCCAGCCGCAGUGGAUCCAUGCUAGCAGAGUGAAGGCAGCCCCGUCCCCAGGGAGCGCAUAAGCCUAUGCGGAGGUGGAUAUCCAGCACUUAUCGAAAGGAGAACGAGGAAGAGAAGUAGACGAAAAAAGAAAAAAAAGAAAAACGAGAUUGCUGAUUGAAGUUAGCAAUAAGUAUCAUUGAGUCCAUCAAGUCAUGUUUGCACAGUCGCUUUUAUACCUGAUUGUGCUAAAAAAUCUGCUAAUUUACACACAAGCGCUUAUAAGCAGUGGUAAUGAAACUUGGUUGGAUGCUGUAUUAUCCGAUUUAUUAGGAUGUUGAUUUAUCGUGCUAUGAAUACUUUCGUAUCCUCUCAAUAUUCUCUAGCGAAUAGAACUAUCAAGUAUUAAUGAUUUGAAGGAAAUGUUUGAUUGAAGGUUUUUUUCGUGUAUUAUUCUGUAAUAAUGGACAUGCUGAUCAUGUGAUAUGAUAAUUCUGUUAUAUGAUAACUGUCAUUAUCAAAGGGGCCAUUGUCAGAAAUAUAAGUCUUUUUAGUCUCAGCUAUGUCCAUUAGGCCAAAGAGUAUAAAGGCUCUAUGAAGAGUUUAUGCUUUGCUUGCACAUUCCUCUGUAUGUAUGUGUGUAAGUUCAAACAUCUGGAGAGUUUCUCCCUCUCCCCUUUCUGUUCUUCUUUCUUUUGUUACAUAUAGAAAGUCUUCUAGGAUCCCUAGGUUCUGAGGGUAUUUUCAACGGAUAUUGACCAUAUUCGGAGUUAUUAUAUAAAUGUUAUACAACGUAUAUAUGAUAUGGCAUGAGGUCAUAUAUAAUUCUAUUGGAUAAGACCAGAUAACUCCCCUUGAUAUUUUCAUAUAUAUUUGCAUGUCACAUAUGGGGAGGCUGAGCUAUCUUUUCUGGCUCCCCCAGCGCUGGUGAUUUUGAUUCUGUAUGGUCUGUUCACAACUCAAUAAAAGGACGUGGAGGAAAAGGCA